rnacentral:lncRNA from 1 species
AUUGUAAGCGUCUUGGCUAGAAUGGCUAGAUCGCUCCUCUCGUGUUUCUCUGGUCACCAGCAAAGCACUGGGCAGGAGCUGGAAAUGUUCUCAAAACUGUCCUGAAAGCAAGUAAUGCUUUCGGUCGUUGUCACCUUCAUGAGGAACAAGCUGCAACUUUGCUUUCUGACUUCAUUCUCCCGGUGACAUUUUUCACACAGGCUCUGACAGAGACAGCAAUUAUAAAGACAUCCAGGCUUCUGUUGAGGGAAGUCGAGGAUCCAGCAUGACAGCGUUUGGAAGAGCUGCGCUCAACGCCAUGCUGUUCUGUUCCUCUGGCACGCGACCCCGUGACUCCAGCAUCACCUCUCCCUGCCCGCUCUUCUUCCACCUUCCAUUGCUCGC